rnacentral:rRNA from 1 species
UACGGGCAGACUAGAGGUAUGCAGGGGAGAACGGAUUCCUGGUGUAGCGGUGAAAUGCGCAGAUAUCAGGAGGAACACCGGUGGCGAAGGCGGUCUCUGGGCAUUACCUGACGCUGAGGAGCGAAAGUGUGGGGGAGCGAACAGGAUUAGAUACCUGGUAGUCCACACCGUAAACGUUGGGCGCUAGGUGUGGGGCCUAUUCCAUGGGUUCCGUCCGCAGCUAACGCAUUAAGCGCCCCGCCUGGGGAGUACGGCCGCAAGGCUAAAACUCAAAGAAUUGACGGGGGCCCGCACAAGCGGCGGAGCAUGCGGAUUAAUUCGAUGCAACGCGAAGACCUUACCUGGGUUUGACAUAUGCCGGAAAGCUCUAGAGAUAGAGCCCCUUUUAGUCGGUUACAGGUGGUGCAUGGCUGUCGUCAGCUCGUGUCGUGAGAUGUUGGGUUAAGUCCCGCAAGAGCGCAACCCUCGUCCUAUGUUGCCAGCACGUGAUGGUGGGGACUCAUAGGAGACUGCCGGGUCAACUCGGAGGAAGGUGGGGAUGACGUCAAGUCAUCAUGCCCCUUAUGUCCAGGGCUCACGCAUGCUACAAUGGCCGGUACAAAGGGCUGCGAUCCCGUAAGGGGGAGCGAAUCCCAAAAGCCGGUCUCAGUUCGGAUUGGGGUCUGCAACUCGACCCCAUGAAGUCGGAGUCGCUGUAAUCGCAGAUCAGCAACGCUGCGGUGAAUACGUUCCCGGGCCUUGCACACACCGCCCG